GCUGAGCUGUGACCACUGCACUGAAGAGAAGUCAGAGAAACAGGACAGAGGACCCAGGCUGCAGCCAGCCCAGAGAAGAGCUCACCUCCUGCCAGACUAGCCAGCUGUGGAAACAGCUGUGCAGCAAAGAAAAGGAGCCCACCCUCUUCUUCUGUCCCAUUUCCCACUCCUGUUGUGGGAUUUGGGGGACUCCUGGAGCAGGUCUUUGGCCAACUUCCCUUCUGGGCAGAACCUUAAAUUCAGGAGCUAAAGGCUCUGCUCCCUCAUAUCUUGGGCCAAAGUCCCAGGGUCCCAGUCAGGGGGUCCAGCUCCGUGGAGAUGCCAGCAGCCCGUCGGUUCCCUGGCCUGGAGCUUUCUUUCCCUCUCCUGGCCAGACUACGGCGACGCCUGUACACAAGGCUGGGGAGCAGCAGCAUGCAGCCUGAGGAGGGCACGGGCUGGCUGCUGGAGCUGCUGUCCGAGGUGCAGCUACAACAGUACUUCCUGCGGCUCCGCGAUGACCUCAAUGUUACCCGCCUGUCCCAUUUUGAGUAUGUCAAGAAUGAGGACCUGGAGAAGAUUGGCAUGGGCCGGCCUGGACAGCGGCGAUUGUGGGAGGCUGUGAAGAGGAGAAAGGCCAUGUGCAAACGCAAGUCUUGGAUGAGCAAGGUGUUCAGUGGAAAGCGACUGGAGGCUGAGUUCCCUCCUCAUCACUCUCAGAGCACCUUCCGGAAGACCUCGCCCACUCCAGGGGGCCCAGCAGGGGAGGGGCCCUUGCAGAGCCUCACGUGCCUCAUUGGGGAGAAGGACCUGCAUCUCUUCGAGAAGCUAGGAGAUGGCUCCUUUGGCGUGGUGCGCAGGGGCGAGUGGGACGCCCCCUCGGGGAAGACGGUGAGUGUGGCUGUGAAGUGCCUGAAGCCUGAUGUGCUAAGCCAGCCAGAGGCCAUGGAUGACUUUAUCCGGGAGGUUAAUGCCAUGCAUUCCCUGGACCAUCGAAACCUCAUUCGUCUUUAUGGUGUGGUCCUCACGCCGCCCAUGAAGAUGGUGACAGAGCUGGCGCCGCUGGGAUCGUUGUUGGACCGGCUGCGCAAGCACCAGGGCCACUUCCUCCUGGGAACUCUGAGCCGCUACGCCGUGCAGGUGGCUGAGGGCAUGGGCUACCUAGAGUCCAAGCGCUUUAUUCACCGUGACCUGGCUGCCCGAAAUCUGCUGUUGGCCACCCGUGACCUGGUCAAGAUUGGGGACUUCGGGUUGAUGCGUGCACUACCCCAGAAUGACGACCACUAUGUCAUGCAAGAGCAUCGCAAGGUGCCCUUUGCCUGGUGUGCUCCCGAGAGCCUGAAGACACGUACCUUCUCCCAUGCCAGUGACACCUGGAUGUUUGGGGUAACAUUGUGGGAGAUGUUCACCUAUGGCCAGGAGCCCUGGAUUGGCCUCAAUGGCAGUCAGAUUCUGCAUAAGAUUGACAAGGAGGGGGAACGUCUGCCGCGGCCUGAGGACUGCCCACAGGAUAUCUACAAUGUCAUGGUUCAGUGCUGGGCUCACAAGCCAGAGGACAGACCCACCUUUGUGGCCCUGCGGGACUUCCUGCUGGAGGCCCAGCCCACUGACAUGAGGGCGCUUCAGGACUUUGAGGAGCCAGACAAGCUGCACAUCCAGAUGAAUGACGUCAUCACUGUCAUCGAGGGAAGGGCUGAGAAUUACUGGUGGCGUGGACAGAACACCCGGACACUGUGUGUGGGACCCUUUCCUCGCAACGUGGUGACCUCCGUGGCUGGCCUUUCAGCCCAGGACAUCAGCCAACCCCUGCAGAAUAGCUUCAUCCACACGGGACAUGGCGACAGUGACCCCCGCCACUGCUGGGGCUUCCCUGACAAGAUUGAUGAACUGUACCUGGGAAACCCCAUGGACCCUCCUGACCUGCUGAGCGUGGAACUGAGCACCUCCCGACCCACCCAACAUCUAGGAAGGGUGAAAAGGGAGCCUCCACCUCGCCCACCUCAGCCUGCCAUCUUCGCUCAGAGUAAGUGGGGCUGCUCUCGAUGCCUUGGCCCCUGCCCCUGCCCCCUCUCUCCUCUCAUUCCUCCUCUCCUUCUGAAAGAGCCAACCUACGACCCAGUGAGUGAGGACCAGGACCCUCUGUCCAGCGACUUCAAGAGGCUGGGCCUCCGGAAACCAGGCCUGACCCGUGGGCUGUGGCUGGCGAAGCCCUCAGCUCGGGUGCCGGGCACCAAGGCAGGGCGUGGCGGCGGGAGCGAGGUCACACUCAUUGACUUCGGCGAGGAGCCUGUCGUCCCCGCCCCCCGGCCCUGUGCACCCUCACUGGCACAGCUGGCUAUGGAUGCCUGCUCCUUGCUGGACAAGACUCCACCGCAGAGCCCCACUCGGGCACUGCCCCGGCCCCUGCAUCCCACACCUGUGGUGGACUGGGAUGCCCGCCCGCUGCCCCCGCCUCCUGCCUAUGACGAUGUGGCCCAGGAUGAGGACGACUUUGAAGUCUGCUCCAUCAACAGCACCCUGGUGGCUGCAGGGGUCUGUGCUGGGCCCAGCCAGGGUGAAACCAAUUAUGCCUUUGUGCCUGAGCAGGCGCAGCUCCUCCCUCCCCUGGAGGACAAUUUGUUCCUCCCACCCCAGGGUGGGAGCAAGCCGCCCAGCUCGGCCCAGACCGCACAGAUCUUCCAGGCGCUGCAGCAGGAGUGCAUGCGGCAGCUGCGGGUCCCGGCUGGCUCCCUGGUCCCUUCACCUGGCCCAGCCCCAGCGGGUGAGGACAAGCCCCAGGUGCCCCCCCGGGUGCCCAUCCCCCCGAGGCCCACUCGCCCACGUGGUGAGCUGUCUCCAGCCCCCUCAGGUGAGGAGGAGAUAGGGCGGUGGCCUGGACCUGCCUCCCCUCCCCGGGUGCCUCCCCGGGAGCCCCUGUCCCCUCAAGGCUCGAGGACCCCUAGCCCCCUGGUACCACCUGGAAGCUCCCCACUGCCACCCCGGCUCUCAAGCUCACCUGGGAAGACCAUGCCCACCACCCAGAGCUUUGCCUCAGACCCCAAGUAUGCUACACCACAAGUGAUCCAGGCACCCGGCCCACGGGCUGGUCCCUGCAUCCUACCCAUCGUCCGUGAUGGCAAGAAGGUCAGCAACACCCACUAUUACCUGCUGCCCGAGCGCCCACCCUACCUGGAACGCUACCAGCGCUUCCUGCGUGAGGCCCAAAGCCCUGAAGAGCCAGCCCCCUUGCCUGUGCCCCUGCUGCUGCCCCCACCCAGCACCCCAGCCCCUGCCGCCCCCACUGCCACUGUUCGACCAAUGCCCCAGGCUGCCCCAGACCCCAAGGCCAACUUCUCCACCAACAACAGUAACCCAGGGGUCCGGCCACCAGCCCUGAGGGCCACUGCACGGCUGCCACAGAGGGGCUGCCCUGGGGACGGGCCAGAGGCUGGACGACCAACAGACAAGAUCCAGAUGGGACCCUGAAGACUGGUUCUGCCGCUCUCACCUCCUUUUGCCCCUCCCUACCAUCCUGCCUCUGGCUCUCCUCUGCCCCUACCCCUACCCUUCAGCCCCAGUGUGUCCCAUGGCACCACCCUCUGCUCCUCAGGUGGAGCAGCUCUUUGGGUUGGGUCUGCGGCCGCGAAGCGAGUGCCACAAGGUGCUGGAGAUGUGUGACUGGAACCUGGAGCAGGCAGGCUGCCACCUCCUGGGCUCCUGCGGCCCCGCCCACCACAAGCGCUGAGAUGUCUGAAGAGCCAGAGGGUCUGCCCUGAAGGAAUCACUUGAGCCUGUCCAUCUGACAAGGGUGGGGAGAAGACCUGCCCAGGCCUGGAGGACCUGCUGCCACUUGCCGUGGCAGAGCAAAGCCAAGGCAGCAAGAGACUGGGAGCCCCGCCUUGCUGUCCCUCCCUCACCCAGUGCUGUCCCUGCAACUUUGGAUCAGCUCUUGGUGCCCUUGGCCAAGGGGUGGGAAGGAACCCCAUGAAGGCAGGUCUGGUGGCCGCCUCAGCAGGCCCUGCAGCUGACCUGCUUCUGGCUCCAGCCCUGGUUGGGCCUGUGGCCGGAGUGUGUUUCCAUGCUCUGCCAGUGGGGAAGCAGGGCUUGACUCGUGCAGGGAGGAUGUGUUGGCCACACAGAAAGGUGGACCAGCACCCAGCAAGCCCUCCCAGGGUAGGGCCCUUCUCCAGGGAUCCCCUGGAGGGCAGUUAGGGUGUCGGAGAGAAUGUGACUUGUGGCCUCACCAUGGAUAUGUUAUGGGACUAGGCUGGUCUCAGGAUCUUGUGCCUGGAAAUAGCCCUGAGUGGCUCAGGAAGCAGAGCGAGGGUGCCAGAUUGUUCUCUGGCAGGGACCAGGGCCCAAGGCCCCAGGGUUGGAAGGAGACCAAGGGGGCAGCUGCCCUGGAGGGAUACCAGUGCUUCCUCUUUGACCCAGCUCCUCCCCUGUGCUGUUCUGUGUUUUCCUACCAGCCUGUGUCGCCAAAGUUGCUGCCCCAGCUAUGGAUACCUGCUUCUUCCAGAGAAAUAAAGUUAGUUUCUAUUUUAUGUUA